rnacentral:lncRNA from 1 species
ACUAUUCGGGGAAAGUGAGGUUUUUUCCAUUUUCUUGAAGUGGGGAGGAAAAACCAGCUGCAUGGACGUGUGGCAAAGAGCAUAGCCCGCCCAUGAUGGUGAUUGAGGAUGGAGAUUGCUGAGGGGUGCACAGGGAAACAGGUAUUGGCUUGCGGGAGAAGAUAGAAAUAGGAAGGGAGGGAGGAUUUGAUCAGCCGAUUAGGAGGAAGCUGGGGGGGCGCAGGGAAGCAAGAGAGAGGAAGAAGAGCUCAUGAGUUUUCUCGUUCAUUUCCGUUAAAGUGGAGAUCUCCCAGGUGUGGGGAUUGUUGAUUUUUCAGUUCAUAUGUUCUUAUCACAUUAUUCUUCGUACAUUUUUAUGAUUGUUUUAGCUUCCAUGCAUGGUUAGGAUGUGUUUGCUAUGUUAUUCUCUUACCUUAUCUGAUUUUACUUGAGGUUAUUGUGGAUAUGUGUUUAUAUGAAUCAUGUUAAUGCACUCCAUCACUCCCCUGCCCAUGGCCCAUGGAUUAGUGUUUGAAAUGGGGCUCAGCAUGUUUGUCAUUUGGUCUCUCCCAUUUGUUUCUUCCUUCAGAUUUACCCUGUUUUUAACCUCUGUUUUUUCUUCUUCCAUAUAUGUCAUUUUAAACUGGUGAGUUCAUUGUUGGUUUGUGGGAGGUCGGAGAGGAACAAAAAAAGGAAAAAAAUGUUGAGUGGCCUUUACAAAAUGAGCUGCGAAAUCCUGAUGUUAGAGAAGGAAUUAUGAAAUGGGUUCAAAGAAGAGAUGACCUAAAUGAAAAGUGUGUCCAGGUUCUUUGGAUUCUGUGAGAAGCACUUCUAGAGCAUUUGGGCUGAAGUCUUCCUCCUUCAGAGUAUUUACAGUCGCAGCGUACAAAACAAAACCGAUUAACCCAUGCGGUGGUGUGUUAUCCAAAGACGAUAGUAGAAAAUUCCGGUGUGGGUACGGGUCCCAUAAUUCUCACUGGUUCGGAAUUUCCAGUUAAGUUGGAAUUGGAGUUAAUAGAGCUCCUGAAAUCAAGAAGAAUCAAUCCUAUCUCCA